rnacentral:rRNA from 1 species
ACGGAAGGCAGCAGUGAGGAAUAUUGGUCAAUGGACGCAUGUCUGAACCAGCCAUGCCGCGUGCAGGAAUAAGGCCCUAUGGGUCGUAAACUGCUUUUGUGGUGGAGCAAUAAGUCGUACGUGUACGGCGAUGAGAGUACAUCACGAAUAAGCAUCGGCUAACUCCGUGCCAGCAGCCGCGGUAAUACGGAGGAUGCAAGCGUUAUCCGGAUUUAUUGGGUUUAAAGGGAGCGUAGGCGGGCGUUUAAGUCAGUGGUCAAAGCGUGUGGCUCAACCAUACCACGCCAUUGAUACUGGAUGCCUUGAGUGCACAUAAGGAUGGUGGAAUUCAUGGUGUAGCGGUGAAAUGCUUAGAUAUCAUGAAGAACUCCGAUUGCGAAGGCAGCUGUCCGGGGUGUAACUGACGCUAAUGCUCGAAAGUGCGGGUAUCAAACAGGAUUAGAUACCCUGGUA